UACGUAGGGUCCGAGCGUUGUCCGGAAUUAUUGGGCGUAAAGGGCUCGUAGGCGGUUCGUCACGUCGGGAGGGAAAACUCGGAGCUUAACUCCGAGCCUGCUUCCGAUACGGGCAGACUAGAGGUAGGCAGGGGAGAGCGGAACUCCUGGUGUAGCGGUGGAAUGCGCAGAUAUCAGGAAGAACACCGGUGGCGAAGGCGGCAUCCUGGACCGACAUUGACGCUGAACGGCGAAAGCUAGGGGAGCAAACGGG
rnacentral:rRNA from 1 species